UCGGUAAUUCCAGCUCCAAUAGCGUAUAUUAAAGUUGUUGCAGUUAAAAAGCUCGUAGUUGGAUUUCUGACAGCGCAGACCUCCCUCUCCAAGCCCUCUGCUUUCCUUCCUUCUGGGGAGGUUUGUGGGGGGAGAUGGGUGGGAAACGACGCGGUGUCAUCCUCUCGGAGACGUCAUGUGCUCUUAAUUGGGUGUGUGAGCCGGAUCCGGGAUCUUUACUUUGAAAAAAUUAGAGUGUUCAAAGCAGGCCUUCGCUUGAAUACAUUAGCAUGGAAUAAUAGAAUAGGACUUUGGUUCUGUUUUGUUGGUUUAUAGGACCGAAGUAAUGAUUAAUAGGGAUAGUUGGGGGCAUUAGUAUUUAAUUGUCAGAGGUGAAAUUCUUGGAUUUAUGAAAGACUAACAUCUGCGAAAGCAUUUGCCAAGGAUGUUUUCAUUAAUCAAGAACGAAAGUUAGGGGAUCGAAGACGAUCAGAUACCGUCGUAGUCUUAACCAUAAACUAUGCCGACUAGGGAUCGGUGGGUUCAUUUUAUAGGCCCAUCGGCACCUUAUGGGAAACCAAAGUUUUUGGGUUCCGGGGGGAGUAUGGUCGCAAGGCUGAAACUUAAAGGAAUUGACGGAAGGGCGCCACCAGGAGUGGAGCCUGCGGCUUAAUUUGACCCAACACGGGAAAACUCACCAGGUCCAGACAUAGGAAGGAUUGACAGAUUGAGAGCUCUUUCUUGAUUCUAUGGUUGGUGGUGCAUGGCCGUUCUUAGUUGGUGGAGUGAUUUGUCUGGUUAAUUCCGUUAACGAACGAGACCUUAACCUGCUAAAUAGAGUUGCGAUUCUCGAAUCGUAGACUACUUCUUAGAGGGACUAUCGGCGUUUAGUCGGUGGAAGUUUGAGGCAAUAACAGGUCUGUGAUGCCCUUAGAUGUUCUGGGCUGCACGCGCGCUACACUGACGAGAGCAACGAGUGUACCUGCUCUGGAAAGAGUGGGCAAUCUUUUGAAAUCUCGUCGUGAUGGGGAUAGAUCUUUGUAAUUAUCGAUCUUGAACGAGGAAUUCCUAGUAAGCGCGAUUCAUCAAAUCGCGUUGAUUACGUCCCUGCCCUUUGUACACACCGCCCGUCGCUACUACCGAUUGAAUGGUUUAGUGAGGCCUCGGGAUUGACAAAUGGGAGUUAGCAAUAACUCCCUAUUGUUCGAGAACUUGGUCAAACUUGAUCAUUUAGAGGAAGUAAAAGUCGUAACAAGGUAGCCGU
rnacentral:rRNA from 1 species